UACGGAGGGUGCAAGCGUUAAUCGGAAUUACUGGGCGUAAAGCGCGCGUAGGCUGUUAGAUAAGCGGGAUGUGAAAGCCCUGGGCUCAACCUAGGAACUGCACCCCGAACUAUCUAACUAGAGUGCAGUAGAGGGUGGUGGAAUUUCCAGUGUAGCGGUGAAAUGCGUAGAGAUUGGAAGGAACACCAGUGGCGAAGGCGACCACCUGGACUGACACUGACGCUGAGGUGCGAAAGCGUGGGGAGCAAACAGG
rnacentral:rRNA from 1 species